rnacentral:misc_RNA from 1 species
UCACCCCUCAAGCCCCGCGCUUGGUGUUGGACGGUCUGGUCGAUGUUGCAUCGAACCCCUCCCAAAGACAAUGACGGCGGCCUGUGGCUCCCCCGGCACACUGAGCUUUUCACCGAGCACGUGUCGGAUUCGUGGGUGUCCAGGUCCCGGUCAUCUCCCCCGUUGGGGGGAAACAUUUUCACAA